rnacentral:rRNA from 1 species
UACCAGCACCCCGAGUGGUCGGGACGUUUUAUUGGGCCUAAAGCAUCCGUAGCCGGUUCUACAAGUCUUCCGUUAAAUCCACCUGCUUAACAGAUGGGCUGCGGAAGAUACUAUAGAGCUAGGAGGCGGGAGAGGCAAGCGGUACUCGAUGGGUAGGGGUAAAAUCCGUUGAUCCAUUGAAGACCACCAGUGGCGAAGGCGGCUUGCCAGAACGCGCUCGGACGGUGAGGGAUGAAAGCUGGGGGAGCAAAC